UACAGAGGUCUCAAGCGUUGUUCGGAUUCAUUGGGCGUAAAGGGUGCGUAGGUGGCGUCGUAAGUCGGGUGUGAAAUUUCGGAGCUUAACUCCGAAACUGCAUUCGAUACUGCGGUGCUUGAGGACUGGAGAGGAGACUGGAAUUUGACGGUGUAGCAGUGAAAUGCGUAGAGAUCGAUAAGGAAGACCAGUGGCGAAGGCGGGUCUCGUGGACAGUUCCUGACACUGGAGGCACGAAGGCCAGGGGAGCGAAACGGG
rnacentral:rRNA from 1 species